rnacentral:lncRNA from 10 species
GUAAGGCGGAGGUUUAGGGAGGUAGAGUGGAAAGAACAACAUUGAAAUAUGGUUUUUAUCCUGAAGAAAAUCAUACUGAGUGGAAAAUUAAAACAUUAUUUUUUUAAGUCAAUGGCAUAGAAAUACAUUCAGGGGGGCUGAAAUUUCAAAGGAGCCUCUCAUCAUUUCUCCCCAUUACUCCAACUCCAUCACACACAUUUUCACCCACCAUGACUUUUCCAGCUUGGAUUCAUAACAAUCGUGUUUUCAGUAUGCUCCCUGACUCAAUCUCUGUCUUUUUCAGACUCAGAGUUCACCUCCUCCAGGAAGCCUUCCUUGAGACGCCAUUGCUCACCUGGCUCUACUUGCUUGACCAGAAGUACUUUAAAGAUUAUAUCUUUACAUUUUGUAUCUGCAGGACUUGAAAUAUAAUGAACAUUCCAGACAUAAUUGAUGAAUAAAAUAACAUCCAAUCCCUUCAUUUUAUAGAUUGGUUGAUGAAGACCUUGGACUUUUGGCCAAGAUUGAACAUCUACAGUGGAGAUUAUUUAGUGCUGUUUUCUAUUCACAGGCCUAGCCACUCCAACCUGUCUGUUGUCUUUACAUCAUAGGACUUUACCCAAGGUGCACUCUAUAAUACAUGCCAGUCCAAAUAUACAUUCUGACAGACAAUCUAGCUGCCCACAUCUGUCAGAUGGCUCUUUCUGUGACAACUGAGGAUAAGAAUUUUUUUCUUUAAGAAUUAGAGCUAAAUAUUAUGAAAUAUAAUCUAGACUUCAAGAAACUUUGACAGUUACCUGUAUCACCGUCUGUGGAUGAAUAAAAAUCUCUUUGACAUCUAAGACAAAAUGGCCAUUCACCAUCUAUCUGAAAAUUCUAGUGAGGACAGCCAUACUUUCUGAGGCAUGUUGAAUGGCUAACAUUUUAGAAUUCUUCCUUACAUUGGCUGAAAUAUGACUGAAGUUUCACAGAUUUACCCUUAUUCCUCAUGAUAAAAGUACAGAAGUUUGUUAAGUGUCCUUGGUGACAGGUUGGUCAAGAUUGGACCUUCCAUAGGAUUACUUAGUCUCACAUCCCCUCAUGGCUACGGAUCUCAUAAGGAUGGGUCUGAACAUCAAAAAUAUCACUGUUUUUAUUCAGGUACUGACAGCGCCAUAUAAAUAUGGCUUAAAGCAUGGCUAUAAGAAGAGUGAAUAUUCUAAUGACCUGUCUUGAGUGAAGCUGAUGAGACUGUAUUUUGAGUCUUACUGUACCUGUUAAGGCUAUGCAGCGUAUUUAGAGAGAAAUGUGGAAUUUGUUAUAUAAAGGUAAGUUUAAAUAGGGUGCUAAUAUCUAUGAAGGUCAACUUUGUUAAUUCAACACAAAUAAAAAUCCAAGCCAUGGUCAUUCAGCACACAUAAAGUCUAAGUAAUUUCAAAUAAAAUUACUGCUUGGCUGAAUGCUUAAGCAAUUUUGGAUUGCUGGAGUGAAUCAAAGAAUACUCAUAAUGUAAGCUCAUUAGAUUCACAGAGAGAUAUGCUGAUUUAAUUCAAGUGUUCUGCUGUCCAUUUAAACUUCACCUUCUUUUCUUACUUUGGAUUACUAGAUGUUUUUGUUAAUCUUAUUUGACAAGCUGCAUCUAGUCUUAUGAAUUUAACCUUUUUGUGAAUUGUCUUUGCUAUUAAAAAUUCUGUAACUGUCAAUCACUUGAAUCAUGUGGAGUUAUGAAAAAUGUCUGAUCCUUGAAUGUAUAUCUUUUCUCUCUCCAUCUGUAAUAUCUUACUAUGUACAGAAUAAAU